AGGAGAUAUGUCUUAUUUCCCAACCGUGUUACACGCACGCCUCCACACUUUGUUUUGUUUAACCUCUUCUUAACUUUGGACGUACAUUGAAAAUACCCGGUACACGCAACCCUAACUCAAAAUGCCGGACAUUUGAGGCAUUUAAAAAAACCCGCCCGGACACCCCCGCAAAAGAGGACAUGUCCGGGGAAAAGAGGACGUAUGAAAGAAAAGCGCUCGGCACUGUGAUGGUCGAUGAGGCUAAACAUCUAUGGAACAGCAGCUCGCAAAAAAUCCUGUACAUUUGGCUUCUGUAUUGACAUGUGGGUGAUAUCCUGAUCAAUUGGAGAGAGGAAGAGAAAGAGAGAAGGAGGAGAGGGAGAGGUGAAGAUGUCCAGUGCGAUCCUCAGUGAAGGCGUUGGACUCCAUACCUCGGCUCUCUUCUGUCCCGGACCUCAAUCUGAGAAAACAAAACAGACUUAAUUCACCUCAUUUCAGCUGAUCAGCUCCGUCCUGUUCCUCUUUCGUUCCUUCCCUGCACCCGGUGUGCUUCCCGCAAGGCUUAAUCAGAGAGAUUCAAGCAUCCUGACGCAACGUCGUGCAAAAAGAG